rnacentral:misc_RNA from 1 species
UGAUGAAGAACGUAGCGAAAUGCGAUAAGUAGUGUGAAUUGCAGAAUUCAGUGAAUCAUCGAAUCUUUGAACGCACAUUGCGCCCCUUGGUAUUCCAUGGGGCAUGCCUGUUCGAGCGUCAUUUGUACCUUCAAGCUUUGCUUGGUGUUGGGUGUUUGUCCUGAGGGACUCGCCUUAAAGUAAUUGGCAGCCAGUGUUUGGUUUUGAAGCGCAGCACAAGUCGCGAUUCAAAGCUAUACGCCCGCUUCCACAAGCCUUUUUCACUUUUGACCUCGGAUCAGGUAGGGAUACCCGCUGAACUUAAGCAUAUCAAUAAGCGGAGGA